rnacentral:rRNA from 1 species
UUACGGGAGGCAGCAGCUAAGAAUAUUCCGCAAUGGACGAAAGUCUGACGGAGCGACGCCGCGUGGAUGAUGAAGGCCGAAAGGUUGUAAAGUCCUUUUGUCGACGAAGAAUAAGUGGGGGAGGGAAUGCCCUCAUGAUGACGUUAGUCGGCGAAUAAGCCCCGGCUAAUUACGUGCCAGCAGCCGCGGUAACACGUAAGGGGCAAGCGUUGUUCGGAAUUAUUGGGCGUAAAGGGUACGUAGGCGGUCCUGUAAGCCCGGCGUGAAAUACUGGAGCUUAACUCCAGAACUGCGCUGGGAACUGUAGGACUUGAGUCAUGGAAGGGGAGUUGGAAUUCCAGGUGUAGGGGUGAAAUCUGUAGAUAUCUGGAAGAACACCGGUGGCGAAGGCGAACUCCUGGCCAAUGACUGACGCUGAGGUACGAAAGUGCGGGGAGCAAACAGGAUUAGAUACCCCGGUAGUCC